rnacentral:lncRNA from 1 species
UUUUUUUUUUAAUUACAAGAUUCAUGCAAAAAGGCGCAAACCCUUUCCUUGCAUUAAACACUGUGGCUUUUUAAAAAAUCCUUUCCUCAGAAUGUUUAUUAGUUUUUUGUAGAACUAUUUUCCUGCAUUUGCUUGUUAAAUUUUGUAACAGGCAAAUGACAAUAUAAUCGAGUCCCUUUGGACUAUAUCUUUUUCCAUCUAUCUAUAGUGAACUUUUUCUUUAAUGCACAAUGAAAGGGUUAGCGCAGCAAUUUAAAAAGCCACCUUGGUGUCAUGUUUAGAAACUAUAGAAACAUACCACUGGAGCCUAGAAACUCCACAGAGGCAACGGACCAGCACCUAUAGAGGUGUAGGUGUUCUGCACAGAGGCCCAGAAAAUAAGGUAAAGCACUGUCAGAAGAUACUUGUUUCACCAUGUUCCUUGAACUAAAGAUGAAGGGGAGGGGUUAAGUCCAUGAUAUGUGUUAAGAUGGAAAAAACACGAAAGUUAAGGAAAAUAAAAAGUAAAAGAAAGAGUCAAAUGACAAUUCAUAGGACAGGUAAGACAACACAGCAAAAAAAAAAAAAAUUGAAAACCCAAGAGAAAUAUUUCUAGAGUUGAAAGGGAUGCAUUUUAUAAGCAUCAAGUCACAAUGUGUGGGAAAAUCC